GUAAAGAUGCGCUGUGCUGCAGAUCCUCCACCACCACCCCUUGUUUAUUCAGUCCCGGAUGUUGUGCUGCAGAAAACAGAGUCACAAGGCCCAGGUCUGAUUUCUCCCCAAUGUCAUUUGCUGCUCCUUUGCCGCUGAUUAGCUACAGCAAUAAUGCAUCCUUCAGUCUUGAGAGACUAUGGUAACGUGCUCUGUAUGGAGGACUUGGAACAACGCCUAGUGUUUUGACUCUGUCCGCGAAGCUGGCGUGUCCUCUCCAGGGCACGAAUUCUUCACAACAAUUCUUCAAUAUCAAGUAAACUGUACUGGAUAUUAAGAAGGAAAUAUAGUCCAAAUGGUUUAUACAUCUUUAAAAAUAAAGCAUGAUUCUGCAAUCCA